AAUUGUAAUUGUUUCCAUGUUCGAAUAAGUAAUUUUUCCCCAUAUUAUCAACCAAAUGUUACCAAUUAAUAUGUAAUUUUCAACUACUUUUAUAUGUUCCUUCAAACUGAAGCUUGAUAAUGACCUCAGGGUCGAAACUAUAGUC